rnacentral:rRNA from 1 species
CCUACGGGUGGCUGCAGUGGGGGAUAUUGCACAAUGGGGGGAACCCUGAUGCAGCGACGCCGCGUGGGUGAAGGAGCGUUUCGGCGCGUAAAGCCCUAUCGGCAGGGAAGAAGAUGACGGUACCUGACCAAGAAGCCCCGGCUAACUACGUGCCAGCAGCCGCGGUAAUACGUAGGGGGCAAGCGUUAUCCGGAUUUACUGGGUGUAAAGGGGGCGCAGACGGCAAUGCAAGCCAGGAGUGAAAGCCCGGGGCCCAACCCCGGGACUGCUCUUGGAACUGCAUGGCUGGAGUACAGGAGGGGCAGGCGGAAUUCCUAGUGUAGCGGUGAAAUGCGUAGAUAUUUGGAAGAACACCGAUGGCGAAGGCAGCCCCCUGGGACGCAACUGACGCUCAUACACGAAAGCGUGGGGAGCAAACAGGAUUAGAUACCCGGGUAGUC